GGCAACCCUGGCGGCGAGCGGCGAACGGGUGAGUAACACAUCGGAACGUACCCCGUCGUGGGGGAUAACGAGUCGAAAGAUUCGCUAAUACCGCAUACGACCUGAGGGUGAAAGCGGGGGACCUGCGAGGGCCUCGCGCGAUGGGAGCGGCCGAUGUCCGAUUAGCUAGUUGGUGGGGUAAGAGCCUACCAAGGCGACGAUCGGUAGCUGGUCUGAGAGGAUGAUCAGCCACACUGGGACUGAGACACGGCCCAGACUCCUACGGGAGGCAGCAGUGGGGAAUUUUGGACAAUGGGCGCAAGCCUGAUCCAGCCAUUCCGCGUGAGUGAAGAAGGCCUUCGGGUUGUAAAGCUCUUUCGGCCGGGAAGAAAUCGGGCAGGUGAAUAAUCUGCCUGGAUGACGGUACCGGAAGAAGAAGCACCGGCUAACUACGUGCCAGCAGCCGCGGUAAUACGUAGGGUGCGAGCGUUAAUCGGAAUUACUGGGCGUAAAGCGUGCGCAGGCGGCUUUGUAAGACAGGUGUGAAAUCCCCGGGCUUAACCUGGGAAUGGCGCUUGUGACUGCAAGGCUUGAGUUCGGCAGAGGGGGGUGGAAUUCCACGUGUAGCAGUGAAAUGCGUAGAGAUGUGGAGGAACACCGAUGGCGAAGGCAGCCCCCUGGGUCGCGACUGACGCUCAUGCACGAAAGCGUGGGGAGCAAGCAGGAUUAGAUACCCUGGUAGUCCACGCCCUAAACGAUGUCGACUAGGUGUUGGGGAAGGAGACUUCUUUAGUACCGUAGCUAACGCGUGAAGUCGACCGCCUGGGGAGUACGGUCGCAAGAUUAAAACUCAAAGGAAUUGACGGGGACCCGCACAAGCGGUGGAUGAUGUGGAUUAAUUCGAUGCAACGCGAAAAACCUUACCUACCCUUGACAUGCCAGGAACCUGGGUGAAAGCCUGGGGUGCCCGAAAGGGAAUCUGGACACAGGUGCUGCAUGGCUGUCGUCAGCUCGUGUCGUGAGAUGUUGGGUUAAGUCCCGCAACGAGCGCAACCCUUGUCAUUAGUUGCUACAUUUAGUUGGGCACUCUAAUGAGACUGCCGGUGACAAACCGGAGGAAGGUGGGGAUGACGUCAAGUCCUCAUGGCCCUUAUGGGUAGGGCUACACACGUCAUACAAUGGCCGGUACAGAGGGUUGCUAAGCCGCGAGGUGGAGCCAAUCCCAAAAAGCCGGUCGUAGUCCGGAUCGGAGUCUGCAACUCGACUCCGUGAAGUCGGAAUCGCUAGUAAUCGCGGAUCAGCAUGUCGCGGUGAAUACGUUCCCGGG
rnacentral:rRNA from 1 species